AGGUAUGCUGUAGGCAGUGCUAACUAUGGAGAAUACAACUAUGUAAUUGGAUCCUAAUAGCUGUGGUUCCUCAGAGACUUCAUUAUGUUGUUCUCAUUUUACUCCAGGCAGCAACUGGCAGAGAAGACUUAGGCUCCAAGAGGACCAGAUUCCCCUCAGCUAUGUUAGUGUUGGAGCCCCUGCAGGGCAACGCAAAGAUUUUGCUUGCUGGCCUCCAUUUCAAAGACCCCUAGUGCCAGACCAGAAGGCUGCCCCGCCUUGCCAGACCAGAAGGCUGGCCAAAGAUCCAGAACCAGCAAAUAGGCCUUUUUCAUGGGAAGACUGGCGGUUUGUCUCAGCGGAUACUGAACCCUCACCAGACAGAAGAAGUUAACUACAUGAUGACCAGACUGUAGCCAUGACCUAAACUGCCACAAUUCUGAGAACUGGCCUCAAGGAAAUGGGAACAAACCAACCCUGGAAGUAAAGAUUAAUUGCAAUCAUUUGCACUUAAAACAAUCAAGAUGAAGCUAGUCAGACCACUGAUAACUAGUUUCAAGAUGACUGUCAGAGCUGACUCUGUUUGGAGCUCCCUCCCUCUUCCUAUAAAAGCUCUUACCCACUUGUAGUGGGUGUCAGCCUUUGGACAGGAAUCCACCCUUCCCCUGGUUGCCUGCAUCCAAAAUAAAGCAAACUUUCCUUUCCACCAACCUUGCCUUUUUAUUGGGUUUGGUAUUGCAAGAAGCUGGAUCCCACUUUCAGUUAUAGAAUCAGCUCAUGGACAUACUUCUGAUAGGCAAAAGGCAAGUGGAGGGCCAUGCUCAGUUAUAAGUGGGGCUGCAAAACAGAGGAAGCAAACUGGAGAACAAGCCCCCUCCCCAGGCCCCAAGAUCCUGCUGCCCACAGCAGAGGGCAAGCAUGAAGAUGGCACCUGCUGAGGAAAAAGAAACAAAAAGCCCUAAUGUUAAAAGAGAAAGAGAUGCCACCAGAACAUGAAGAUGGGCCUGCCUGCGCGUUGGAAGAAAGCAAAGGAAGGGCUUAUAGAUGGGGUCUCAGGAAAAAGGUAAAAGAAAGAAGAUGGAGCCCGGGUGACAGCCAGGCUGGGAGAGAGACCCAGAGAUGGUGCCCAACUGGUGGCAGGCUUCCUCAGAGGCCUGCUCCUCAGGCUGAAGCUCCAGGACAAGCAGACCAGCCUCCCCCAACAUGAAGUCUGGACACCCAGCAACCAAUUGUUUCACACAGGACCCUGGAGCAGGUGUGGACCCUAAAACCCUCCUUCCAAAAUAUUCUACACCCUAAACUGAGUCUGCGUCAGCUUCCUAGAGAAUCCAAUCUGCCAUGGAUAUGUACAACCUACAAAAAACCUAUAAUUAGUGGAUUCUAAUGUAGAAUUUAAAAUUAUUUUAAGGAAAAGUUUAUGGUAAAAUAGAAAAGUAUCUAGGUGUAGUGAAAAAAAAACUCUCAGAUGCAUAAUUACCUAGCAUUUCAUCCCUCUAUCCAUGUAAAUCAUGCACAUGAAUAUAAAAAAUUAAAAAACAGAAACAUGAGAUAACCAUAACUUGACCAGUUAAGAUGUUUUGUCUCUCUCCCUCCUUCAUUCCCUCCCCUCUUUCUUCCUCUUUGCUUCCUUUUGCUCCCCCUACUGAUUACUGAUGGGCCUGUAUUUAGUCAUGGUCGAUACAAAAGCUUUAAAAAAAUUAUACUCAAGUUAGAAAAAUAAAAUAUUUUAAAAAACAUUAUGUGCUUAA